GACGAACGCUGGCGGCGUGCUUAACACAUGCAUGUCGAACGGAAAGGCCCCUUUCGGGGUACUCGAGUGGCGAACGGGUGAGUAACACGUGCAUAACCUGCCCUUGACUUCGGGAUAACUUCAGGAAACUGGGGCUAAUACUGGAUAGGAAUCCUUGCUGCAUGGUGGGGGUUGGAAAGCUACGGCGGGUUUGGAUGUAAUCGCGACUUAUCUGCUUGUUGGUGGGGUUGUGGGUUACCAAGGCUUUGACGGGGAGCCGGCCUGCGAGGGCGACCGGCCACAUUGGGACUGAGAUAAGGCCCAGGCUCCUACGGGAGGGAGCAGUGGGAAAUAUUGCAAAAUGGGCGGAGGCCUGGUGAAGCAGCGCCGCGUGCGGGAUAACGGCCUUAGGGUUGUAAACCGCUUUCAGCAGGAGCGAAGCUUGUGGUGACGGUACCUGCAGAAGAAGCACCGGCUAACUACGUG
rnacentral:rRNA from 1 species